rnacentral:rRNA from 1 species
CGCGUAGGCGGCUGGAUAAGUCAGAUGUGAAAUCCCACGGCUUAACUGUGGAAGUGCAUUUGAAACUGUCCGGCUUGAGUAUCGGAGGGGAGUGUGGAAUUCCCGGUGUAGAGGUGAAAUUCGUAGAGAUCGGGAGGAACACCGGUGGCGAAGGCGACACCCUGGACGCAUACUGACGCUGAGGCGCGAAAGCGUGGGGAGCAAACA